UGGGCUUCGGAUGGUGCGCACUUUGAUAGAAAGCUGUCCAAAAUGAUUCCAUUGACCAUUUUUUGGGUUCUAUGGAAGGAGAGAAAUUCUAGGGCUUUUGAGGGUCAAGAGGGUGAUUUGUAUAGAUUAAAAAAUAGAUCGCUGCAUUAUUUUGGGUAUAUUUUGUUUGGAUAUGACAUAAUUAGUGAUGAGGAUUUUGAAUAUGUCAUUGAUACACUAACUACAUUAUAAAGCUUUUCUAAUAGGUGAGAUCCUCUGUUUUCUUGGUACCAUGUUAAUAUAUAUAUUCGUUACACUUUUUAUUUCAAAAAAAAAAUUUGGGAUUUGUGAUUGAAGUGUUCUAUUUAACGAAGAGAAGUUGGAUUUUGUGUGGAGAGAAUCUGUAUGGACAUGGGUGACAAUCUGGUGUAAGGGCAGAUUUUCCUCCUCUUUGCUUGCGUUUACCGGCAAGCAGUGAGGGGACAAUUGCCAUUUCUCUGACCAGGAAGUUUCUGGUUAUUGAAAGUAAAUUCUUUAAUGUAGGGAAGAGAGGAGAAGGAAUAAGGGUGAGCAAGAAUAGGAGGGGGUUCAGGUCGACGAUAACGGUCUGGGGUGAGGAGAUUGAACAGCUGCUGGGAGCUUUGCCAGAGUUCUACUAGACAAAAGGAGGGAACUUUUUUGGGGGCAAAAUAAAGUUAGUAGAGAUCACCAAGUUUGGUUGGCCAUUGGAGGAAGCUAAAGGGGAAAAUUUCUGGUGAUUACUGAGAAGAAAGGGGAGGAAAGUAGGAGAGUUUUUAUCCUGAGGGACCCCAAGCGGGCGGAUGGUGGUAGCCCUAUAUGAGAUGGUGGAUUGGCCACCAGCACAGUAGAUUUGGAAAUUUGGGGGCAUGAAACAUGUGAGUACGGAUAGGGUGGAGCAAAGCUUGGUAGUGGCUCAAGCAACCAUAUUCUGUGCAUGGUGAGUUGCCCAAGCUGUAAGUUAGUCAUGAAAAUGAUGGUGGAGGUGAUUGGCGCAUGUUAUACUGAUGUGCUGACAAAAGGAGGGAACUUUUUUGGGGGCAAAAUAAAGUUAGUAGAGAUCACCAAGUUUGGUUGGCCAUUGGAGGAAGCUAAAGGGGAAAAUUUCUGGUGAUUACUGAGAAGAAAGGGGAGGAAAGUAGGAGAGUUUUUAUCCUGGAGGGACCCCAAGCGGGCGGAUGGUGGUAGCCCUAUAUGAGAUGGUGGAUUGGCCACCAGCACAGUAGAUUUGGAAAUUUGGGGGCAUGAAACAUGUGAGUACGGAUAGGGUGGAGCAAAGCUUGGUAGUGGCUCAAGCAACCAUAUUCUGUGCAUGGUGAGUUGCCCAAGCUGUAAGUUAGUCAUGAAAAUGAUGGUGGAGGUGAUUGGCGCAUGUUAUACUGAUGUGCUGACAAAAGGAGGGAACUUUUUUGGGGGCAAAAUAAAGUUAGUAGAGAUCACCAAGUUUGGUUGGCCAUUGGAGGAAGCUAAAGGGGAAAAUUUCUGGUGAUUACUGAGAAGAAAGGGGAGGAAAGUAGGAGAGUUUUUAUCCUGGAGGGACCCCAAGCGGGCGGAUGGUGGUAGCCCUAUAUGAGAUGGUGGAUUGGCC
rnacentral:lncRNA from 1 species